rnacentral:lncRNA from 1 species
AGUAGCCAUCUAGGUAAUCAGAUUGGCAGAUCAUAAGAAGAAGGGUAAGUAUAGUACAAUACGAUAUUUGAGAGGGAAAGACAGACAGAGACUACAUUUACAUUACUUGUGUUAUGGUAUAUUGUUCUAGUUGUUCUAUUUGAUUAUUAGUUAUUGUUGUUAACUCUUACUGUGCCUUAUUUAUAAAUUAAACUGUAUCAUAGAUAUGUACAUACAGGAAAAAAACCCAUAGUAUCUCUAGGGUUCAGUACUAUCUGUGGUUUUAGGCAUUCACAGGAGGUCCUGGGACUACUGUCUAUUUAUUUGCUUGGUACUUGCUCCCUGCAAGUCUUCUCAUUUUACUAAUCUGAAACUCCAGGAGGGGAUGGGAUCACAGCUGUGUACUUAGAACCUAGCCUGGCACUUGACACAUAGAAACUGUAGGCAGACAUUUGUUGAAUGACUUAAAAAGAAAAAAAGAAAAUGUGCUAAUGAGUGAGGACCAAAUAACUUUUAAGAAAUUAAUCAAUUUCAAAGACCAAGUUACCUAAAUUAUUCUUACAUUAAAUUGUAUUGCUUUGUAAGUUUAUUAUUUUCCAGUCCUUUUGUGCCUACAGUUGUAGUCUCAGAAAGGAGAAAGUUUACUGGAAUCAGGUGAAUUGUGGCCACAGAAAUACUUUCAUGUUCCUUUCCAGCACAAAUUUGUUGGUUAACAAAUGGAAGGCAUUUAAUAAAUAUGACUAGCUGUUGGUUGUGUAUAUCCUCAAU